ACAAAAGAUACACACCGUUGAUUUUUUAUUGUGUGGCCGACAUUAAUGCUGCAUUUUUUUGGGUAAAAAUCACGCUCCUUUCUCUUUCCUCCCUUCUUUCAUAGUUUCACCCUGAGUUUCUCACUCUCUCCUCACCUGCUCCUUUCUCUCUCUCCCUACUCUUCUUCAACUGCAUUUCACCAUUGUCAUCAUCUCACUCUCAACUUCUUCUCUAACUCUUUUUUCUCAUUUCACCUUUCUAUUGAAAAAAUCUCUUUUUCUCUCUCCUAAUCACAACAAUGGCGAUAAUAUCAUAUUAGGAAGAUGAAGAAUCCAACCACAAUGAAAAGAGAAGCAACCUCUGAAUAAAUUUUCAGUUACUUUUGUUGUUUCGAAUCUGCUAUUUUCAUUUGAUUUUUUUGCUAUGAGCAGACUGCUUCGAACAAAUUUUUAAGAAAAUUUCAGGAUUUAGGUUUUUGUAGCGCAAAAUGUGAUGUAAUUGGAGAUUAUCUACCAACCUUCACUUAUUUUGGUGAAUGUGGUGACCGAAUUCCAGACUGAGUUGAAUCGUUUGGACAAAACGAUGGUCUUCGCUGCUUCUUCGACGUAGAGGUGAGAGAGAAUGUGAGCUAAUUCGCCGGAAAGAUCGUCGUCAGGUAUUUGUUCGUCGACUACCAUGAGAGUACUGGGGAGGAGUUCGUCGGAGGUGUUACUUGUCAUUUGUCAACAUCAAGUGUCAAGUUUUUGUAAUUGGAAAACAAAAUGGCACUAAAACUUUCGAGCAGUAGUUGGAAGGGAAGUGUUGUAUUACGAAAAUUAACCCUUGAAAUAUAUAUAUUUACCUUA